GACGAACGCUGGCGGCGUGCUUAACACAUGCAAGUCGAACGGAAAGGCCCUGCUUUUGUGGGGUGCUCGAGUGGCGAACGGGUGAGUAACACGUGAGUAACCUGCCCUUGACUUUGGGAUAACUUCAGGAAACUGGGGCUAAUACCGGAUAGGAGCUCCUGCUGCAUGGUGGGGGUUGGAAAGUUUCGGCGGUUGGGGAUGGACUCGCGGCUUAUCAGCUUGUUGGUGGGGUAGUGGCUUACCAAGGCUUUGACGGGUAGCCGGCCUGAGAGGGUGACCGGCCACAUUGGGACUGAGAUACGGCACAGACUCCUCCGGGAGGCAGCAGUGGGGAAUAUUGCACAAUGGGCGGAAGCCUGAUGCAGCAACGCCGCGUGCGGGAUGACGGCCUUCGGGUUGUAAACCGCUUUCGCCUGUGACGAAGCGUGAGUGACGGUAAUGGGUAAAGAAGCCCCGGCUAACUACGUG
rnacentral:rRNA from 1 species